GAAGAGAUGGACUAUUUAAAUGCGAACAAUAUCACACGAGAACAUGUUGGACAGUGCUUAUAUUAUCCUGAGGUGAAGAGGCCUUUCUUAGCAGGACAGAAAAAUCCAAAACUAUAGAGGAAAUGCUUGACUUCUAAUGACAUGAAAACGUAUCACCUCCAUACGUCAAAAAACAAAAUCACAGACAAAUUAAAAGAUGAAGGGCAAGCAGGAAAGCAUUGGCAAUAUAUAAAACAGCCACCUGGUAGUUACCGUAAUGUCUUCAAGUCUCUUUAAAAUUCAUUAAGAGAUGUAGGGGAGCCUGGCUGGCUUAAUCAGUGGAGCGUGCAACUCUCGACCUCAGGGUGGUGAGUUCGAGUCCCACGCUGGGUGCAGAGAUUACUUACACAAUAAAAUCUUAAAAAAAAAAAAAUUAUUAAGAGGUGCAGACUUCCACUGCAUUCGUAAUGUUAUUUGUACGUGUCUGCUGAGUCGAUAAGUUGAUCUGCAGAAUUUUUAUACCUUUUUUGUUUUCAUGAGACAUUUGAUAGUAAAUCCAGGAUGAUGAAAAGGAACCAAAACAACAGAGGAGCAACCCCUUAGGAAACCGACAAAGAGGUGAAUGAACGCUCCCUACCACUAACCAAAUGUGAUACAGUGAUUUGCAAGAAGAAAUACGUAUCUGGCCUUUGUCCACUGUUCCAGGCACACAGUUCCAAAACUUGGAAUCUCCUAUACAGGAACCGCAGGGGCCUCUUUUGUUACAAUACUUAGUUUUGUUCCCAGUCCCUGAAACAGCUCCAGAUUGGUAAAGGGGAAGUGGGCGGCUUUUGUUAUUUAUAACAAACCCCUCUCCGCGGUGUGACUUUCGGAGAGCCCCCGAGGGCGGGGGCUGGUUGCCAGGGCAACCAACCUGCGAUCCCAGGGUGGGAACUCCAAGCCCCGCCCCCAGCUCUACGGAGGGGAGAGGGGCUGGAGAUCUGAGCUCGGUCGCCCGUCCCACCUUUGUAGUGAAGCCCGCACCGGAGCCCAGGAGGACAGGGCCCAGCGCUUCCCGGCUGGUGAAGAUGGAGAAGAACGACGCACCAGGACGGGUCUUGGGUGCUGUGCCCCCUCCCACAUCCAGUGCCCUACGCAUCAGUUCCAGCGGGCUCUCCCUGAGUUACACCUUUUUUCCAACAAACAGCUCCUUCUGCUGAGAAUGCCAACUCCCCGAUGCCCAUUCCCAUUCCUCAGACUCAUGUAUUGUUGAAGAUACUUCUCAGGUGUUACCUCCUCUGUUGGUCUAUUCCUCUUCUGAACCCGUAAAACUUUGAAUCACGCUGA